AGUUGGUGGAGUGAUCUGUCAGGUUAAUUCCGUUAACGAACGAGAUUUUAUCUUUCUAGUUAUGGAGGGUAUUGAUUACUUUUCAUUUCUUAGAAGGACAUCAUGUUUUUAACAUGAGGAAGCAUAAAGCAAUAACAGG
rnacentral:rRNA from 1 species